rnacentral:rRNA from 1 species
UACGAGGGGGGCAAGCGUUGUUCGGAUUUAUUGGGCGUAAAGAGCUCGUAGGCGGUGUGUCGCGUCGGCCGUGAAAACCUGCAGCUUAACUGUGGGCUUGCGGUCGAUACGGGCAUCACUGGAGUUCGGCAGGGGAGACUGGAAUUCCUGGUGUAGCGGUGAAAUGCGCAGAUAUCAGGAGGAACACCGGUGGCGAAGGCGGGUCUCUGGGCCGAUACUGACGCUGAGUGAGCGAAAGCCAGGGGAGCAAACGGG